AACAAGGUCUCCGUUGGUGAACCAGCGGAGGGAUCAUUAUCGAGUUAUUCAACUCCCAAACCCUAUGUGAACUUACCACUUGUUGCUUCGGCGCGCGCUUCGGCGCCGCCGAGGACACUUAAACUCUUUGUUUUUAUAAGCAUUUCUGAGUGGCCGAAAGGCAAAAAUACAAAUGAAUCAAAACUUUCAACAACGGAUCUCUUGGUUCUGGCAUCGAUGAAGAACGCAGCGAAAUGCGAUAAGUAAUGUGAAUUGCAGAAUUCAGUGAAUCAUCGAAUCUUUGAACGCACAUUGCGCCCGCCAGCAUUCUGGCGGGCAUGCCUGUUCGAGCGUCAUUUCAACCCUCGAGCCCGACUCUUUUGAGGACGGCUCGGCGUUGGGGGACGGCAGACUCCCCCCGGCAUCUCGCCGGGGACGCCGCCCCCGAAAUCUAGUGGCGGCCCUCCGAGGCGACCUCUGCGUAGUAACUUGUUCUCGCACCGGAAAGCUCAGAGCGGCCACGCCGUAAAACCCCAACUUUUUUCAGGUUGACCUCGAAUCAGGUAGGACUACCCGCUGAACUUAAGCAUAUCAAUAAGCGGAGGAAAG
rnacentral:rRNA from 1 species